UACGUAGGGGGCGAGCGUUGUCCGGAUUUAUUGGGCGUAAAGAGCUCGUAGGCGGCUGUUCAAGUCGAACGUGAAAACUCGGAGCUCAACUCCGAGCCUGCGUUCGAUACUGGGCGGCUAGAGUCUGGUAGGGGGACCUGGAAUUCCUGGUGUAGCGGUGGAAUGCGCAGAUAUCAGGAGGAACACCUAUGGCGAAGGCAGCUCGCUGGGACGUUACUGACGCUGAGACGCGAAAGCGUGGGGAGCAAACAGG
rnacentral:rRNA from 1 species